rnacentral:rRNA from 1 species
GACGAACGCUGGCGGCGUGCUUAACACAUGCAAGUCGAACGGAAAGGCCCUGCUUUUGUGGGGUGCUCGAGUGGCGAACGGGUGAGUAACACGUGAGUAACCUGCCCUUGACUUUGGGAUAACUUCAGGAAACUGGGGCUAAUACCGGAUAGGAGCUCCUGCUGCAUGGUGGGGGUUGGAAAGUUUCGGCGGUUGGGGAUGGACUCGCGGCUUAUCAGCUUGUUGGUGGGGUAGUGGCUUACCAAGGCUUUGACGGGUAGCCGGCCUGAGAGGGUGACCGGCCACAUUGGGACUGAGAUACGGCCCAGACUCCUACGGGAGGCAGCAGUGGGGAAUAUUGCACAAUGGGCGGAAGCCUGAUGCAGCAACGCCGCGUGCGGGAUGACGGCCUUCGGGUUGUAAACCGCUUUCGCCUGUGACGAAGCGUGAGUGACGGUAAUGGGUAAAGAAGCACCGGCUAACUACGUGCCAGCAGCCGCGGUGAUACGUAGGGUGCGAGCGUUGUCCGGAUUUAUUGGGCGUAAAGGGCUCGUAGGUGGUUGAUCGCGUCGGAAGUGUAAUCUUGGGGCUUAACCCUGAGCGUGCUUUCGAUACGGGUUGACUUGAGGAAGGUAGGGGAGAAUGGAAUUCCUGGUGGAGCGGUGGAAUGCGCAGAUAUCAGGAGGAACACCAGUGGCGAAGGCGGUUCUCUGGGCCUUUCCUGACGCUGAGGAGCGAAAGCGUGGGGAGCGAACAGGCUUAGAUACCCUGGUAGUCCACGCUGUAAACGGUGGGUACUAGGUGUGGGGUCCAUUCCACGGGUUCCGUGCCGUAGCUAACGCUUUAAGUACCCCGCCUGGGGAGUACGGCCGCAAGGCUAAAACUCAAAGGAAUUGACGGGGCCCCGCACAAGCGGCGGAGCAUGCGGAUUAAUUCGAUGCAACGCGUAGAACCUUACCUGGGUUUGACAUGGAUCGGGAGUGCUCAGAGAUGGGUGUGCCUCUUUUGGGGUCGGUUCACAGGUGGUGCAUGGCUGUCGUCAGCUCGUGUCGUGAGAUGUUGGGUUAAGUCCCGCAACGAGCGCAACCCUUGUUCACUGUUGCCAGCACGUUAUGGUGGGGACUCAGUGGAGACCGCCGGGGUCAACUCGGAGGAAGGUGGGGAUGACGUCAAGUCAUCAUGCCCCUUAUGUCCAGGGCUUCACGCAUGCUACAAUGGCUGGUACAGAGAGUGGCGAGCCUGUGAGGGUGAGCGAAUCUCGGAAAGCCGGUCUCAGUUCGGAUUGGGGUCUGCAACUCGACCUCAUGAAGUCGGAGUCGCUAGUAAUCGCAGAUUAGCAACGCUGCGGUGAAUACGUUCCCGGG